rnacentral:lncRNA from 1 species
UUCCUGCACACUUUGCAACUUUGUAGAACAAAAUGCUGAUGAGAAUGAUAAAUCUCCGAGCUUUGCGUGCUCUUGCUUUUUGAUUGGUUAGGAUGUAGUUUUGAAAUCACCUCCAAUUUUGAGCUUUGACUUUGGACUAGUAAAGGUAGUAAAAACAAUAUAAAGAAAGGGAAAUAAACUUCAAAACUGCUUUUUUUUUUCCCGUGCGAGAAGUUCACAAUAAAUUGUGGCGAUGCUUCUCAAAUAAAAUUAGAUUCCGCUGCUGCCUGCUGCUUCCCUCCACGUUUCAUCUCUUUUCUCUUAAUCGCCGGAGCCUCUCCUGGGACACUAGGUAAUCUGAGGGAAGAAUGGCACAUUCAGGCUCCUGGAGUUCUACAGGGGGCUGAGGUUUGCUAGAUUUAGAAAAGAAAAAAAAAGAACAAAAAGAAGAAAAGAAAUAAAGAAGAGAGAAAGAAAGCAGAAAGAAAAAGAAAGGAAAAAAGACAGAGAAAGAAAAAAAGUACAGAAUACCCAGAAAGGACUAUCAGCAGGGAAUUGAGCUGCCUGAUAUUACGUGGUGGAUGAAUGGUGAGGACUUACCUCCUGAUCCUGAAUGUUCAUUUGGAAAGCGAUAGACUCUCAAAAUCAGAAGGGAUCUUGGAAGUCGUCUAUCGAUCAUUCAGGAUAAGAAUUCCCACAGCAGUGUACAUAAUUGAAUACUUCCAAUGACAUGGAAGUCCUUCACCGUGUAAAGCAGCCCCUUCUGUUGUUGGCAAUUCUGAUACUUCUAUUUUAUCCUGAGCCACCUUCUGCCUCCAUGUCCCUUCUACCAACUGUUACUUGUUCUGUCCUCUAGAACCAUAAAGAAUAAAAGAACAGAAUAGGUGCUCAAUAAAUAUUUGUCGAAUGAUUGGAAUUAUCCGAAUUAUUGACAGUAGGUGUUCAUGCAUUGCUUUUAUAAUUUAAAAAUGAAAAGAGAAAAAAUAAAAACUAAUCUCCCUCUCUUUCUAUUCAUGCGCGUGCACACAGACACUGAUAUAAUCCUGCCCACCGUUCUGGACUUUCG